GAUGAACGCUGGCGGCGUGCCUAAUACAUGCGAGUCGAGCGAACGGACGAGAAGCUUGCUUCUCUGAUGUUAGCGGCGGACGGGUGAGUAACACGUGGAUAACCUACCUAUAAGACUGGGAUAACUUCGGGAAACCGUAGCUAAUACCGGAUAAUAUUUUGAACCGCAUGGUUCAAAAGUGAAAGACGGUCUUGCUGUCACUUAUAGAUGGAUCCGCGCUGCAUUAGCUAGUUGGUAAGGUAACGGCUUACCAAGGCAACGAUGCAUAGCCGACCUGAGAGGGUGAUCGGCCACACUGGAACUUAGACACGGUCCAGACGCCUACGGGAGGCAGCAGUAGGGAAUCUUCCGCAAUGGGCGAAAGCCUGACGGAGCAACGCCGCGUGAGUGAUGAAGGUCUUCGGAUCGUAAAACUCUGUUAUUAGGUAAGAACAUAUGUGUAAGUAACUGUGCACAUCUUGACGGUACCUAAUCAGAAAGCCACGGCUAACUACGUG
rnacentral:rRNA from 1 species